UACACUCCUACGGGAGGCAGCAGUGAGGAAUAUUGGACAAUGGGUGGAAGCCUGAUCCAGCCAUCCCGCGUGCAGGAAGACGGCCCUAUGGGUUGUAAACUGCUUUUAUCUGGGGAUAAACCUACUUACGUGUAAGUAGCUGAAGGUACCAGAAGAAUAAGCACCGGCUAACUCCGUGCCAGCAGCCGCGGUAAUACGGAGGGUGCAAGCGUUAUCCGGAUUUAUUGGGUUUAAAGGGUCCGUAGGCGGACUGAUAAGUCAGUGGUGAAAUCCGACAGCUUAACUGUCGAACUGCCAUUGAUACUGUUAGUCUUGAGUAAGGUUGAAGUGGCUGGAAUAAGUAGUGUAGCGGUGAAAUGCAUAGAUAUUACUUAGAACACCAAUUGCGAAGGCAGGUCACUAAGUCUUAACUGACGCUGAUGGACGAAAGCGUGGGGAGCGAACAGGAUUAGAAACCCCGGUAGUCCCAUG
rnacentral:rRNA from 1 species